rnacentral:rRNA from 1 species
UUGAAGGCUGGAAUGAAUGGUUGAACAAAAAAUAGUCUGUCUCGUUGUUAAAGUUAAAAUUUGACUUUUAAGUAAAAAGGCUUAAAUAAAAUAGAAUGACGAUAAGACCCUAUAAAGCUUUAUAUUUAAAAAAUAACUAAUAAUUAAAAUUUAAAAAUUGUUUAUUUAGGAAAUAUUGUGUUGGGGCGACAAAAAUAAAAAUUGUAACUGUUUAUUUAUUAAAAACUUUGAAUAAAAGAAAAAAUGAUCCUUUAAUAAAGAUUAAAAGAUUAAGUUACUUUAGGGAUAACAGCGUAAUCUUUUUUGAGAGUUCAUAUCGACAAAAAGACUUGCGACCUCGAUGUUGAAUUAAGAAAUCCUUUUGGUGCAGCAAUCAAAAAG